ACAUACGACCAUAGGGUGUGGAAAACAGGGCUUCCCGUCCGCUCAGCCGUACUUAAGCCACACGCCGGUGAGUUAGUAGUUGGGUGGGUGACCACCAGCGAAUCCUCACUGUUGUAUGU
rnacentral:rRNA from 3 species